GGUAUAGCCAAGUGGUAAGGCAUCGGACUCUGAAUCCGACAUUUCGCUGGUUCGAAUCCAGCUACC
rnacentral:tRNA from 1 species